GCCUUCGUGGUGUAGUGGUCAGCACGCCUGGCGCGUAUUCGAGAGGUCCGUGGUUCGAGUCCUGGCGAGGGCA
rnacentral:tRNA from 1 species